rnacentral:rRNA from 1 species
GGGUUGUGAGGUUAAGCGACUAAGCGUACACGGUGGAUGCCCUGGCAGUCAGAGGCGAUGAAGGACGUGCUAAUCUGCGAUAAGCGUCGGUAAGGUGAUAUGAACCGUUAUAACCGGCGAUUUCCGAAUGGGGAAACCCAGUGUGUUUCGACACACUAUCAUUAACUGAAUCCAUAGGUUAAUGAGGCGAACCGGGGGAACUGAAACAUCUAAGUACCCCGAGGAAAAGAAAUCAACCGAGAUUCCCCCAGUAGCGGCGAGCGAACGGGGAGCAGCCCAGAGCCUGAAUCAGUGUGUGUGUUAGUGGAAGCGUCUGGAAAGGCGCGCGAUACAGGGUGACAGCCCCGUACACAAAAAUGCACAUGCUGUGAGCUCGAUGAGUAGGGCGGGACACGUGGUAUCCUGUCUGAAUAUGGGGGGACCAUCCUCCAAGGCUAAAUACUCCUGACUGACCGAUAGUGAACCAGUACCGUGAGGGAAAGGCGAAAAGAACCCCGGCGAGGGGAGUGAAAAAGAACCUGAAACCGUGUACGUACAAGCAGUGGGAGCACGCUUAGGCGUGUGACUGCGUACCUUUUGUAUAAUGGGUCAGCGACUUAUAUUCUGUAGCAAGGUUAACCGAAUAGGGGAGCCGAAGGGAAACCGAGUCUUAACUGGGCGUUAAGUUGCAGGGUAUAGACCCGAAACCCGGUGAUCUAGCCAUGGGCAGGUUGAAGGUUGGGUAACACUAACUGGAGGACCGAACCGACUAAUGUUGAAAAAUUAGCGGAUGACUUGUGGCUGGGGGUGAAAGGCCAAUCAAACCGGGAGAUAGCUGGUUCUCCCCGAAAGCUAUUUAGGUAGCGCCUCGUGAAUUCAUCUCCGGGGGUAGAGCACUGUUUCGGCAAGGGGGUCAUCCCGACUUACCAACCCGAUGCAAACUGCGAAUACCGGAGAAUGUUAUCACGGGAGACACACGGCGGGUGCUAACGUCCGUCGUGAAGAGGGAAACAACCCAGACCGCCAGCUAAGGUCCCAAAGUCAUGGUUAAGUGGGAAACGAUGUGGGAAGGCCCAGACAGCCAGGAUGUUGGCUUAGAAGCAGCCAUCAUUUAAAGAAAGCGUAAUAGCUCACUGGUCGAGUCGGCCUGCGCGGAAGAUGUAACGGGGCUAAACCAUGCACCGAAGCUGCGGCAGCGACACUAUGUGUUGUUGGGUAGGGGAGCGUUCUGUAAGCCUGUGAAGGUGUACUGUGAGGUAUGCUGGAGGUAUCAGAAGUGCGAAUGCUGACAUAAGUAACGAUAAAGCGGGUGAAAAGCCCGCUCGCCGGAAGACCAAGGGUUCCUGUCCAACGUUAAUCGGGGCAGGGUGAGUCGACCCCUAAGGCGAGGCCGAAAGGCGUAGUCGAUGGGAAACAGGUUAAUAUUCCUGUACUUGGUGUUACUGCGAAGGGGGGACGGAGAAGGCUAUGUUGGCCGGGCGACGGUUGUCCCGGUUUAAGCGUGUAGGCUGGUUUUCCAGGCAAAUCCGGAAAAUCAAGGCUGAGGCGUGAUGACGAGGCACUACGGUGCUGAAGCAACAAAUGCCCUGCUUCCAGGAAAAGCCUCUAAGCAUCAGGUAACAUCAAAUCGUACCCCAAACCGACACAGGUGGUCAGGUAGAGAAUACCAAGGCGCUUGAGAGAACUCGGGUGAAGGAACUAGGCAAAAUGGUGCCGUAACUUCGGGAGAAGGCACGCUGAUAUGUAGGUGAGGUCCCUCGCGGAUGGAGCUGAAAUCAGUCGAAGAUACCAGCUGGCUGCAACUGUUUAUUAAAAACACAGCACUGUGCAAACACGAAAGUGGACGUAUACGGUGUGACGCCUGCCCGGUGCCGGAAGGUUAAUUGAUGGGGUCAGCGCAAGCGAAGCUCUUGAUCGAAGCCCCGGUAAACGGCGGCCGUAACUAUAACGGUCCUAAGGUAGCGAAAUUCCUUGUCGGGUAAGUUCCGACCUGCACGAAUGGCGUAAUGAUGGCCAGGCUGUCUCCACCCGAGACUCAGUGAAAUUGAACUCGCUGUGAAGAUGCAGUGUACCCGCGGCAAGACGGAAAGACCCCGUGAACCUUUACUAUAGCUUGACACUGAACAUUGAGCCUUGAUGUGUAGGAUAGGUGGGAGGCUUUGAAGUGUGGACGCCAGUCUGCAUGGAGCCGACCUUGAAAUACCACCCUUUAAUGUUUGAUGUUCUAACGUGGACCCGUGAUCCGGGUUGCGGACAGUGUCUGGUGGGUAGUUUGACUGGGGCGGUCUCCUCCUAAAGAGUAACGGAGGAGCACGAAGGUUGGCUAAUCCUGGUCGGACAUCAGGAGGUUAGUGCAAUGGCAUAAGCCAGCUUGACUGCGAGCGUGACGGCGCGAGCAGGUGCGAAAGCAGGUCAUAGUGAUCCGGUGGUUCUGAAUGGAAGGGCCAUCGCUCAACGGAUAAAAGGUACUCCGGGGAUAACAGGCUGAUACCGCCCAAGAGUUCAUAUCGACGGCGGUGUUUGGCACCUCGAUGUCGGCUCAUCACAUCCUGGGGCUGAAGUAGGUCCCAAGGGUAUGGCUGUUCGCCAUUUAAAGUGGUACGCGAGCUGGGUUUAGAACGUCGUGAGACAGUUCGGUCCCUAUCUGCCGUGGGCGCUGGAGAACUGAGGGGGGCUGCUCCUAGUACGAGAGGACCGGAGUGGACGCAUCACUGGUGUUCGGGUUGUCAUGCCAAUGGCACUGCCCGGUAGCUAAAUGCGGAAGAGAUAAGUGCUGAAAGCAUCUAAGCACGAAACUUGCCCCGAGAUGAGUUCUCCCUGACUCCUUGAGAGUCCUGAAGGAACGUUGAAGACGACGACGUUGAUAGGCCGGGUGUGUAAGCGCAGCGAUGCGUUGAGCUAACCGGUACUAAUGAACCGUGAGGCUUAACCUUACAACGCCGAAG